rnacentral:rRNA from 1 species
GACGAACGCUGGCGGCGUGCUUAACACAUGCAAGUCGAACGGAAAGGCCCUGCUUUUGUGGGGUGCUCGAGUGGCGAACGGGUGAGUAACACGUGAGUAACCUGCCCUUGACUUUGGGAUAACUUCAGGAAACUGGGGCUAAUACCGGAUAGGAGCUCCUGCUGCAUGGUGGGGGUUGGAAAGUUUCGGCGGUUGGGGAUGGACUCGCGGGUUAUCAGCUUGUUGGUGGGGUAGUGGCUUACCAAGGAUUUGACGGGUAGCCGGCCUGGGAGGGUGGCCGGCCACAUUGGGCCUGAGAUACGGCCCAGACUCCUACGGGAGGCAGCAGUGGGGAAUAUUGCACAAUGGGCGGAAGCCUGAUGCAGCAACGCCGCGUUCGGGAUGACGGCCUUCGGGUUGUAAACCGCUUUCGCCUGUGACGAAGCGUGAGUGACGGUAAUGGGUAAAGAAGCACCGGCUAACUACGUG